CAGAGGGUGCAAACGUUGCUCGGAAUCACUGGGCGUAAAGGGCGUGUAGGCGGGAAGGAAAGUCAGAUGUGAAAUCCCUGGGCUCAACCCAGGAACUGCAUUUGAAACUCCCUUUCUUGAGUGUCGGAGAGGAAAGUGGAGUUCCUGGUGUAGAGGUGAAAUUCGUAGAUAUCAGGAGGAACACCGGUGGCGAAGGCGGCUUUCUGGACGACAACUGACGCUGAGACGCGAAAGCGUGGGGAGCAAACAGGAUUAGAUACCCUGGUAGUCCACGCUGUAAACGAUGAACACUAGGUGUCGUGGGUAUUGACCCCCGCGGUGCCGCAGCUAACGCAUUAAGUGUUCCGCCUGGGAAGUACGGUCGCAAGACUA
rnacentral:rRNA from 1 species